rnacentral:rRNA from 1 species
UACGGGGGGGGCAAGCGUUGUUCGGAAUUACUGGGCGUAAAGGGCUCGUAGGCGGUUUGUCGCGUCGGGAGUGAAAACUCAGGGCUUAACCCUGAGCCUGCUUCCGAUACGGGCAGACUAGAGGUAUGCAGGGGAGAAUGGAAUUCCUGGUGUAGCGGUGAAAUGCGCAGAUAUCAGGAGGAACACCGGUGGCGAAGGCGGUUCUCUGGGCAUUACCUGACGCUGAGGAGCGAAAGUGUGGGGAGCGAACAGG